GAUCCUGGCUCAGGAUGAACGCUAGCUACAGGCUUAACACAUGCAAGUCGAGGGGCAGCAUGGUCUUAGCUUGCUAAGGCCGAUGGCGACCGGCGCACGGGUGAGUAACGCGUAUCCAACCUGCCUUACACUCUUGGACAGCCUUCUGAAAGGAAGAUUAAUACAAGAUGUUAUCAUGAGUAAGCAUUUUCGCAUGAUUAAAGGUACGUUCGGUAG
rnacentral:rRNA from 1 species